rnacentral:rRNA from 1 species
AGCCAAGGCGGACGGGUGAGUAGCGCGUAAAGAACUUGCCCUGCAGACAGGGAUAACAGACGGAAACGACUGACAACACCUGAUACGGUUGCCGGCACGCAUGUGCCAGGCAAUGAAAAGCGAUGCUGCAGGAGAGCUUUGCGUCCUAUUAGCUUGUUGGUGAGGUAACGGCUCACCAAGGCGACGAUAGGUAGCCGGCCUGAGAGGGUGAACGGCCACAAGGGGACUGAGAUACGGCCCUU